GAUGAAGAACGCAGCGAAAUGCGAUAAGUAAUGUGAAUUGCAGAAUUCAGUGAAUCAUCGAAUCUUGAACGCACAUUGCGCCCGCUAGUAUUCUGGCGGGCAUGCCUGUCCGAGCGUCAUUUCAACCCUCAAGCCCCCGGGCUUGGUGUUGGGGAUCGGCGAGCCUCCGCGCCCGCCGUCCCCUAAAUCUAGUGGCGGUCUCGCUGUAGCUUCCUCUGCGUAGUAGCACACCUCGCACUGGGAAACAGCGCGGCCACGCCGUUAAACCCCCAACUUCUGAACGUUUGACCUCGGAUCAGGUAGGAAUACCCGCUGAACUUAAGCAUAUCAAUAAGCGGAGGA
rnacentral:misc_RNA from 1 species